CUUUAAGAUCAGUAGUGUAUCACAUGACAGACAACAUGUAAAAAGGCCCGAUGCUGUCGUCUGCACCCAGGCUGUUUAUGAGCGCUAUUAGCUCCUCGGCAGCGAGCUUCAUGUUGACGGCCGUGGGCCGCGCCGAGACCAAGUAGUUGAGCUUCCCCUCCACUUCCUGACGAAGAACCUUCUUGUCGUCGAAGGUCUCACCCAGCAGCUCGACGGCCAGGCUGAGGCAGCCCACGAUCGCUAUAGCCGGUGCUCCCCGCACCUACACCCACACCAUUUAUGUUCAGACCACACGAGGUAUUAUACAAUGGAGCUUCUGUGUACCUGGAAUUGUUCUUGUAUUCCUGAAACAUUGCUUCAGUUUGACAAUGAUGGGAAGCCAAUGCAUUGUUGAAGACACAUGAAGGAACAUUUUCUUUGCACCAAUGACAUUUUAAGAAAUUGAUGAAACUGCACUGGAAAGAAUCCGCACACACUGUAUGAUCCAGAAGGCAUUCAGAUAUUUUCGCGCAGGACCGAUGGUGUAUUUCAAUAGAAUUUGUGUCUCUGUAGUAAGCAAUAAAUGCAUUAAUUGUAA